GAAAGGCGCUUGGAAUUAACUGAUUCAAUUAAACUUUCAGACCUGAGAAGCUUGAGGGUAACAUUGACAAAGACAUGCAUAACAGUAGCGUCCCAUUCACAUGGGGCAGAAGUGCCAGAGAAGAGCUAAUUCUGGGUCCAUCCAGGGGUCUGGUGAAAGGAGCGUUCCUGCUUUGGUAGAAGGGUGCAAAUUGGGGUACUCAAGUGGAUUCUGACCCCGUGCUUAUUGGUGGCGCGCACUGGGCACGAACCUGCAGAUAACAUCUCAGCCAGCCUGGGCUGGGUAGUCCUGCCUGCUUCUCACAACAGAUUCCUUCAGGGAAGGACGGAAGGGAAGCAGCAGGAGGAGAGUGCCGACAUCCUGACUGUGUGUUUGAUCUGUCUUGGAAACCAGUGAUCACACUAGUGGUGGUAAUUAUGACACAGAAAUUAGGAUAAACCAGGGGGAAAAAAAAAAAAAAAAAAAAAAAAAAAAGUGCAGCAAAGUGUGUUACUUUGCUCUGAACAGAAGAGAAAAUGAAGCCUUUCUCUCAGCAAGCACCAAAGCACAUAUUUUGUAAAAUUGCACUACUAAUAUAUACCUCCCACUGAGGGACAUCCUUAUCUCUGCAGUGCCCUGCACACUGCCUCCUAUGCAGGCCUUACAUUAUAGUGCUCACAUGGCAAAUCCUCAGCAGAUCCCAUCUUCCAAGGGCUGACUCUGGGAGACAUACCGCAUCAGUCACUCUGUCAGGAGGGCCAACAGCAUUUCACUGAAUUCAGUUUUGUUCUAGG